rnacentral:rRNA from 1 species
UACAGAGGGGGCAAGCGUUGUUCGGAAUUACUGGGCGUAAAGGGCGCGUAGGCGGCCUUCUAAGUCGAACGUGAAAUCCCCGGGCUCAACCCGGGAACUGCGUCCGAUACUGGAAGGCUUGAAUCCGGGAGAGGGAUGCGGAAUUCCAGGUGUAGCGGUGAAAUGCGUAGAUAUCUGGAGGAACACCGGUGGCGAAGGCGGCAUCCUGGACCGGCAUUGACGCUGAGGGGCGAAAGCGUGGGGAGCAAACAGG